CUACAGUGAAUUCUGCUGUUUGCAACUUAUAACCCUGAUUAACACAGACAGAGGAAAGACAAAUAGAGGGCUUCCACAUACUUCUCCUGCAUUUGCAGCUGUUUCUCUGGGCGUGAGAGCCAGAACAGAGGAGGUGAAGUGCAUGGUGACCUUGACCAACCUCUAGCAGAAAGCAGAGUCCAACCACAGCAGAUGCAAAGCGGUACAGG